AUAAUUUACCCGCAAAUGGCGUGAUCGCCCGAAUCUAAAAAAUGUCAAAGAUCAUCAAAGUGAAAGUAGACUUGUUGAUUUUAUCGUGUAUAUUAAGCCGUAAAAAAUGAGAGAAUCUUUUCAUGUUCAAUUAUUCAUCUGAAUCAAUGCCUUUUUCAAGCAUUGGGGACACUUUAAUGAUAUGGAAUGGCUUAUAAGGUAAGAAAUACUGGACAUAUUACGAAGCAUAUUUAUAUGCGACCGUGCCUGAUUGAUCAAAAUUUAACAUCAUUAAGUUCGUAUAAACCCCGCUAAACCGCGUAUUUAGGUAUUUAAUAGCCAAUAUUAAACAGAUAGAUGUAAACCUUAAG